rnacentral:rRNA from 1 species
UACGGAGGGUGCAAGCGUUGUUCGGAUUUAUUGGGUUUAAAGGGUGCGUAGGCGGCCCGGUAAGUCAGUGGUGAAAGCCUCCAGCUCAACUGGAGAACUGCCAUUGAUACUGCCGGGCUUGAGUACAGACGAGGUUGGCGGAAUUGAUUGUGUAGCGGUGAAAUGCAUAGAUACAAUCAAGAACUCCGAUUGCGUAGGCAGCUAACUAGGCUGUAACUGACGCUGAGGCACGAAAGCGUGGGGAGCGAACAGG